rnacentral:rRNA from 1 species
UGGCUCACCAAUGCGAAGAUGCGCAGGGGGCCUUAGCGGGUGACCCCCACCACCGGAACUGAGACACUGUCCGGACACCUACGGGUGGCUGCAGUCGAGAAUCUUCCGCAAUGGACGAAAGUCUGACGGAGCGACGCCGCGUGAGGGAUGAAGGCCUUCGGGUUGUAAACCUCUGUCAAGUGUUAUGAAUAAUCGAGUGGAAAUACUGCUCGAGAUGACAAAGGCACUGGAGGAAGCCACGGCUAAAUAUGUGCCAGCAGCCGCGGUAAUACAUAUGUGGCAAGCGUUGUUCGGAAUUACUGGGCAUAAAGGGUUCGUAGGUGGUUUUGUCCGUCGGGUGUGAAAUCCCUCGGCUCAACCGAGGAAUUGCACUCGAUACAGCAGAACUAGAGUCACUGAGGGGGAAGCGGAAUUCCAGGUGUAGCGGUGAAAUGCGUAGAUACCUGGGAGAAGGCCAACGGCGAAAGCAGCUUCCUGGCAGAUGACUGACACUGAGGAACGAAAGCCAGGGGAGCGAACGGGAUUAGAUACCCCGGUAGUCCUGGCUGUAAACGGUGAGCACUUGAUGAUGGGGGAGCUGAACCCUCGUUGUCGAAGCUAAUGCGCUAAGUGCUCCGCCUGGGUAGUACGAUCGCAAGGUUGAAACUCAAAGGAAUUGACGGGGGCUCACACAAGCGGUGGAGCAUGUUGCUCAAUUCGAAGCAACGCGAAGAACCUUACCUGGGCUUGAACUGCAGGGAUUAGCUGUCUGAAAGGUCAGUGACGCCAACUCGGUGGAACCUGUAGAGGUGUUGCAUGGCUGUCGUCAGCUCGUGCUGUGAGGUGUUAGGUUAAGUCCUUUAACGAGCGGAACCCUUGCCCUUAUUUACCAGCGGGUUAUGCCGGGGACUAUAAGGGGACUGCCGGUGUCAAACCGGAGGAAGGUGGGGACGACGUCAAGUCAUCAUGGCCCUUAUGUCCAGGGCUGCAAACGUGCUACAAUGGCGGUCACAGAGUGUCGCAAAGUCGCGAGGCGGAGCUAAUCACGAAAAGCCGCCCCAGUUCGGAUUGCAGGCUGCAACCCGCCUGCAUGAAGCCGGAAUCGCUAGUAAUCGCGGGUCAGCAAUACCGCGGUGAAUACGUUCCUGAGCCUUGUACACACCGCCCGUCAAGCCACGAAAGCUGGGGGGACCCGAAGUCGUUGAUGCUAACCGUAAGGAGGCAGGCGCCCACGGUCAAACCAGUGAUUGGGACUAAGUCGUAACAAGGUA